rnacentral:rRNA from 1 species
UAUACCGUGAAACUGCGAAUGGCUCAUUAAAUCAGUUAUCGUUUAUUUGAUAGUACCUUACUACUUGGAUAACCGUGGUAAUUCUAGAGCUAAUACAUGCUAAAAACCCCGACUUCGGGAGGGGUGUAUUUAUUAGAUAAAAAACCAAUGCCCUUCGGGGCUCCUUGGUGAAUCAUAAUAACUUAACGGAUCGCAUGGCCUUGCGCCGGCGACGGUUCAUUCAAAUUUCUGCCCUAUCAACUUUCGAUUGUAGGGUAUUGGCCUACAAUGGUAUCAACGGGUAACGGGGAAUUAGGGUUCGAUUCCGGAGAGGGAGCCUGAGAAACGGCUACCACAUCCAAGGAAGGCAGCAGGCGCGCAAAUUACCCAAUCCCGACACGGGGAGGUAGUGACAAUAAAUACUGAUACAGGGCUCUUUUGGGUCUUGUAAUUGGAAUGAGUACAAUUUAAAUCCCUUAACGAGGAACAAUUGGAGGGCAAGUCUGGUGCCAGCAGCCGCGGUAAUUCCAGCUCCAAUAGCGUAUAUUAAAGUUGUUGCAGUUAAAAAGCUCGUAGUUGAACCUUGGGCCUGGCUGGCCGGUCCGCCUCACCGCGUGCACUGGUCCGGCCGGGCCUUUCCUUCUGGAGAACCGCAUGCCCUUCACUGGGUGUGUCGGGGAACCAGGACUUUUACUGUGAAAAAAUUAGAGUGUUCAAAGCAGGCCUUUGCUCGAAUACAUUAGCAUGGAAUAAUAGAAUAGGACGUGCGGUCCUAUUUUGUUGGUUUCUAGGACCGCCGUAAUGAUUAAUAGGGAUAGUCGGGGGCAUCAGUAUUCAAUUGUCAGAGGUGAAAUUCUUGGAUUUAUUGAAGACUAACUACUGCGAAAGCAUUUGCCAAGGAUGUUUUCAUUAAUCAGUGAACGAAAGUUAGGGGAUCGAAGACGAUCAGAUACCGUCGUAGUCUUAACCGUAAACUAUGCCGACUAGGGAUCGGGCGAUGUUAUUAUUUUGACUCGCUCGGCACCUUACGAGAAAUCAAAGUU